GACGAACGCUGGCGGCGUGCUUAACACAUGCAAGUCGAACGGAAAGGCCUCUUUCGGGGGGUACUCGAGUGGCGAACGGGUGAGUAACACGUGAGUAACCUGCCCUUGACUUUGGGAUAACUUCAGGAAACUGGGGCUAAUACCGGAUAGGAGCUCCUGCUGCAUGGUGGGGGUUGGAAAGUUUCGGCGGUUGGGGAUGGACUCUCGGCUUAUCAGCUUGUUGGUGGGGUAGUGGCUUACCAAGGCUUUGACGGGUAGCCGGCCUGAGAGGGUGACCGGCCACAUUGGGACUGAGAUACGGCCCAGACUACGACGGGAGGCAGCAGUUGGGAAUAGUGCACAAUGGGUGGAAGCCUGAUGCAGCAAAGCCGUGUGCGGGAGGACGGCCUUCGGGUUGUAAACCGCUUUCGCUCAUGACGAAGCUUUGUGUGACGGUAGUGGGUAAAGAAGCACCGGCUAACUACGUG
rnacentral:rRNA from 1 species